rnacentral:rRNA from 1 species
UACAGAGGGUGCUAGCGUUGUUCGGAAUUACUGGGCGUAAAGCGUGCGCAGGCGGUUAUGUAAGACAGGUGUGAAAUCCCCGGGCUUAACCUGGGAACUGCAUUUGUGACUGCAUAGCUAGAGUACGGUAGAGGGGGAUGGAAUUCCGCGUGUAGCAGUGAAAUGCGUAGAUAUGCGGAGGAACACCGAUGGCGAAGGCAAUCCCCUGGACCUGUACUGACGCUCAUGCACGAAAGCGUGGGGAGCAAACAGG